GGGAUCCUGCAAGGAUGAGGAGAAGGUAGAACAGUGAGGAAGCCAGCCCUGCCCCUGUGAACUUGUGGAAGGCAAGUUCACACCAAAGGCCAUCCUCCUGAUUCAGCAAGGAGGCUGUAGUCAAGUUCAGAUACCACCUCCCUCCAGCCGGCUGCCCUUUGAGGAUGCUCAGACCUGUCCCUGGUGUCCACAGCUUAGGAUCACUCAUCAUCAGUGUUCUAGUAAGAGGGGCACCACACCAAGGAAUAGGAAACACAGGUAGGGGGACCACAGAAGGACCUUUCCUCUGGGUGUCUCAUAAAAUGUGAUGAGGGAGACUCCAUGUGUCGGAACCAGGGAACUUUUGCAUUUCUCCCCCUUCCUUCCCUCUUGCUGCUAUUUUGGGUGAGGUUCCAUAUUUCCCCUCCCACUCUGAACAUCUCCUGCUCUAGGGCACUAAUUUGGGUUAUGCAAGGUAAGGUCCUCAGUGAGGAGAUGAACAAAAUUAACCCGGGAGGUCAAACAGUCCCAGGCCCUAAGGGGAAGCAGCAAGGAGGGAUCCGGGGCGGAGCUCCCAGCCGGUGGCACCACACACCCGGACCAAUCGUGGUCCGCGCCGCGGCCGACCCGGCCCCAAGUCACACUGCAGGAAGACCUGGGGUUGGUGCUCCGUCUACGCAUGAGCCAAUCCACACCUUCGCCUUCAGCCACCGCCUGAGCUCCCCAGUGGUCACUCCGGAGACGAGUGUAGGCUCCGGCAUCGACUCCCAUGCCUGAUGAGUGGAAGGGCCUGGGAGGGAAGGGUGGGUCCCCACCCUGUUAGGUUCCUCCGUGACAUAAUGGGAACCCAAGGUACGCUCUGGGAUGGCAGGGCGAAGGGUAGGGACAACGGAAGAGGUCACGUCGCUAACCCGAAGAAUGGGAUUAGGCUACAGGCGGAGGGGACGCUGCGGAGCGAACGCUCCAACCUAUCGGUCCCAAGGAAAGACCCUCAGCUCUCGAACCCAGAAAGGAGGUGCCAAGUGCCUUAAUUCCGAGAGCUGGUUACCUAAAGAGGCAAGCAGCAGGAUCGCGGCUGGGGCGCGCGCUGUCUCGGCAGUGCUGCCCGAGGGAGGAGAGAUGUGACCCCGCACCCAGCCUACAGCCCUGGAGUGCAAACAGCUGUUUGCGAGGUUAAUAGCUGGAGACUCCACUGGCCUGAGGCUGAGUAACCUCCCCACAGAAUUCCAGGCUCGCUCAGGGGGUCCUCUCUAAGCGCAUGCUUAUGCAGUCCCCAAACUUCAGCACCAGUUCCCUGCCGUGCACGAGCAGGAGCUAGCCCUCUCCAGCCGGUGCAGCCCCUUCCCCGCCCUCCCGUCUUCACCUGGUACAGCGGGUACGCCUCAGAUAUACCCCCCCGAGUUCCCUCGUUCUCUGUCCUGCCCGCGCUAGCCAGUAUAGCUCAGCACGCUCGGUCCAGAAGUGACAGCGCUCCCCUCCUGGCCACCAAGACAGGUCAAGAAUCCCUCUCCCUGUCACUGACCCCUCCUCUCGAGGUCUCGUCAGUACGGUCGUCCCCUGGACCCAGUAUCCCCGAUCUCCUUCCUCUCCUCCCUCAGCCUUGCUCUAGGGCCUGCCGACGCCAGGAGACCUCAGACUUGGGGUCGCAGACGGAGCGCAGGGACGGACGGCGCGGCCCUUUGUGUGUGCACGUUGCCAGCCUCCAUCCCUACUCCCCAGACUGCACUUUUCACAGCCUCUCUCCUGCCCUUGCAUCCCGCCUACGCAGCACAUUCAGUCACCCGGCAACAGUGCCUGAGGUGAGCUAGCAGCUUCUUAUGACAGCUUGGAGGUCCCAGUGAGCCGAGAAGUGACAAGCGGACAAGUCAGUGCUUUGCAAGAGGCGUGACAAGCGGACAAGUCAGUGCUUUGCAAGAGGCUCGCCUAGCGCUGAAAAGCAGUGGGUAUGGGAAUGCUGAAGACUUCUUUGAUGUCCCUGUUUGUGGGAUAUUCAGGAAUUUGGGGUUUGUUGUUUCUGAUAACCUGGAUGUGAGUGAAUUCCACUGGCUUAUUGCAUCUAUAUACAUAAUGGCAGGACUUCAGGCCCUCUAGGUUACUAAAAGAAACCUGAGACUGGACGGGGUCCAGCCAGAAGCAAGGUUACAGAGUGAGUGGUUCCCAGGCCACCUUUCUUUGUUCCACAUGAGGAGAACAAGGAGCUUCCCCAAGUUCGUCCACACUGAGGAGCUGGCUGUGCACCUCUGUUACCUUCAGAUGGGCGCACCAUGCGUGAGCGGCUUGCUGCCUGCACAUGCCGAGAAAUUCCUCUUAUUAAAUACCUGAUUUCCUGCAUAAUAUGGUCUAACUUUGGAAGCCCAGCUGCAUCACCUGCCUCCUGAAAUGAGACAGCGGUGUUAAUGGACCUCGCCAAGCCUCACCAUUGGGAAACUGGUUCAAUGAGAUAUGGAGCAAUCUAUCUGGAUUGUGAAACAUCUUGGGGAAUUUUCAAAGGCGGCACUGUAGAGGAGCAGAACUUACCACCACAAAAUAAAUCUUUGGCAUAAGGGUUAUUUUAGGCUGAUGAUUUUUAAGAAACUGCAGGCAGUGAGAAGCCCUGAAAACUGAGUAGACAUUACCCUUUUGUAAGAGGUAUUCACAUAUAUAGGGGAAAUCUCCAUUUGUACCAGGAAGAGGCCUUAUCUCUAGAAAUUCUUUUUUUUUUUUCCAGUGGAAGUACUGGGAAUUGAAUCUAGGACUUCGUGCAUGCUAAGCAUGCACUCUACCACUGAGCUAUACCCUCUACCCUAGAAACACUUAUCAACACAUGAGACAAGGAGUUACUGCACAAAAACCUAACCUUGUUUGAGAAGGAAAAGCUGGGCUGGGCUAACAAGAUAACUCAUAAAUCUAAGUGUAGCAAGUGACAGUUUACUGAUCUAAGUUCUGCUGGGCUAACUCAUAAAUCUGAAGUUUAGUGUCAGUUUACUGGGCUAACAAACUAACUCAUAAAUCCAAGCUCAACAAGUGUCAGUAACGUGAUCUGUUCCUAAUAGAUAAGUUCCAGUGUACUGAUUCCUUGGUUUUGCUGUUCAAGCCUUAUUGGCUAAUAGCUCCAAGCUUGUAAUUAACCCUCUAAAACCCCAUGCACACGUCUCGGAGGUGCUCAGAGCUUUGGAGCAAAAGCCCCUCUGAGCCCGCCGGCGUAAUAAAUCUGAGUACUCCAA